rnacentral:tRNA from 1 species
AGGGCAGUAGCUUAGUGGUACAGCUCCUGCUUCGUAUGCGGGGAGAUCUGGGUUCGAUUCCCGGCUGCUUCC